UAGGGAAUCUUCCGCAAUGGGCGAAAGCCUGACGGAGCAACGCCGCGUGAGUGAUGAAGGUCUUCGGAUCGUAAAACUCUGUUAUUAGGGAAGAACAAAUGUGUAAGUAACUAUGCACGUCUUGACGGUACCUAAUCAGAAAGCCACGGCUAACUACGUGCCAGCAGCCGCGGUAAUACGUAGGUGGCAAGCGUUAUCCGGAAUUAUUGGGCGUAAAGCGCGCGUAGGCGGUUUUUUAAGUCUGAUGUGAAAGCCCACGGCUCAACCGUGGAGGGUCAUUGGAAACUGGAAAACUUGAGUGCAGAAGAGGAAAAGUGGAAUUCCAUGUGUAGCGGUGAAAUGCGCAGAGAUAUGGAGGAACACCAGUGGCGAAGGCGACUUUCUGGUCUGUAACUGACGCUGAUGUGCGAAAGCGUGGGGAUCAAACAGG
rnacentral:rRNA from 1 species